rnacentral:rRNA from 1 species
GUGAGUAACACGUGGGUAACCUACCCAUCAGAGGGGGAUAACACUUGGAAACAGGUGCUAAUACCGCAUAACAUUUAUGCCGCAUGGCAUAAGAGUGAAAGGCGCUUUCGGGUGUCGCUGAUGGAUGGACCCGCGGUGCAUUAGCUAUUGGUGAGGUAACGGCUCACCAAGGCCACGAUGCAUAGCCGACCUGAGAGGGUGAUCGGCCACACUGGGACUGAGACACGGCCCAGACUCCUACGGGAGGCAGCAGUAGGGAAUCUUCGGCAAUGGACGAAAGUCUGACCGAGCAACGCCGCGUGAGUGAAGAAGGUUUUCGGAUCGUAAAACUCUGUUGUUAGAGAAGAACAAGGACGUUAGUAACUGAACGUCCCCUGACGGUAUCUAACCAGAAAGCCACGGCUAACUACGUGCCAGCAGCCGCGGUAAUACGUAGGUGGCAAGCGUUGUCCGGAUUUAUUGGGCGUAAAGCGAGCGCAGGCGGUUUCUUAAGUCUGAUGUGAAAGCCCCCGGCUCAACCGGGGAGGGUCAUUGGAAACUGGGAGACUUGAGUGCAGCCCCAGGAGAGUGGAAUUCCAUGUGUACCGGUGAAAUGCGUAGAUAUAUGGAGGAACACCUAGUGGCGAAGGCGGCUCUCUGGUCUGUAACUGACGCUGAGGCUCGAAAGCGUGGGGAGCAAACUAGGAUUAGAUACCCUGGUAGUCCACGCCGUAAACGACCGCUGCUAAGUGUUGGAGGGUUUCCGCCCUUCAGUGCUGCUAGCUAAACGCUAUUAAGCCUACUUCCG